rnacentral:rRNA from 1 species
UCUGUAUGAAGUUAAAUAGAGUCUGUUCUGCCCGUUGAAUAUUAUAGUUUGAAAGGCCGCAGUAUCUUGACUGUGCAAAAAAUAGCAUAAUCAUUAGUUUUUUAAUUGAAGGCUUGAAUGAAUGAUCGAACAAGAACUCAGCUGUCUUUUCUGAUUAAAAUUGAAUUUUAUUUUUAAGUGAAAAAGCUUAAAUAAAUAAGAAAGACGAUAAGACCCUAUAAAUCUUUAUGAAAUUUAGUUUUUAAAAUUAAUAUUUUAAGUUAAGCAAAUUUUAAAAGUUAUAUCAUUGUGCUGGGGUGGUAAAGAUAUAAAAAAUAAACUGUCAGAAAAUAAAACAAAAAUAUUUGUUUGUAAAAGAUCCUAUAUAUGGAUUAAAAGAAUAAGUUACUUUAGGGAUAACAGCAUAAUUUCUUUUGAGAGUCCUAAUCGAAAAAGAAGCUUUUUUUUUCGAUGUUGAAUUAAGGAAUCCUUUAGGGCGCAGGUGUUAUAAAAGGGAGUCUGUUCGACUUUUAAAUCCUUACA